UGGUUCGGUAAUACGAUAUUAUCGAUUGCGUACGGAAAGGUCGGUCAAAGGGACGUCUGUCGGUGUAAGCUGAUCGUGGAUCAAAGUAGAAUUUUUGCUUUAAUGAGAGAAUAUUCCUUCGUAGAAUAGACUUCAUCGCAGAAUCUUUUUCGAGUCCAUCUUUUUUCACUCUCGAAAGGAUUCAACGCAGUCGAGAAAGAAAAAUAGGGAUCAAAUAAUUUCGUUGACCGUGUUCUUGGAUAUCGAAAUAAUGUUAAUUUUGAUUGCAUUUAGUAUUAAAAAUUAUAUAUGUAUCUUAAUAUGUAUUAGAAUAUAAGCGAGUGAGAUUAGGAACUAUAAGGAAAGGAAAGAUCUGUUAAUCGAUGUUGAAGAAGAAGUGGAAGAAGGAAGAGAUACGGAAGAUGAAGAAGAACAAGAGGGCGCCCUGUGGCCCUAUGUUAACCUCCCAAUGCGACAUACGGGGAAUGAAUUCCACCUGUCAAAGAAUGGCAAUAAAACUAGAUAUACAAAACUAAAUAAAAGGGAAAGCAGUUCCAAUACCUAGGAAGUAUUCAGAAGGACCUGAAUUAACCGAUAUCUGGAUUAUAAUUACUUCCAAAGAAGAUACAAGAAUUUUAACUACGCUCAACUUGAUAGUUAAAUAUGAGACAUCCAAAGAGAAACAUAUUUACCUGGUCUUCCUGUUCUUCUGUACAUCUGAUAACAAGUCCUACAUGGAUAAUACAAACGUCAGACCAUCAAUCAGAUCAAGAUUUUAUGAAAUCAACGAAAAUAUUACAAUUGUGAAGUGAAUUUAUUACGAAUCUUUCAAAUAUUAUGAAACCUAAGUUGGCCAGAGUGGCACCUAAUGAUCCGGAGUAUGGAAACGAAAUGUUGCUAUUGCUACGGCAUUACUAUAGCAACCAUCGACUUUUACAUUGGAUUUUAAUAAAUGAGCACAUUGGAUUGUCGGAAGAGUGGUUCGAGAAGUGGUUGGAAAAUCUAUUGAAAGAGACUGCACCGUUACUUAUUGCUGAGAGAUGAAGUACUCUUCAAUCUUCCGAUAUCAAUGUAUUGCAAUAUAACUUUACCAUAGUGGACGCAUUACUGGAUGAGGAUCAACGAAAGAACAAAUUUAAAUAUGUUCCACUUGGAUCGUCGAAUAUUUAAUUAUCACGCCAAGCGUACGCGAAAACCCGUAUUUUCCCUGGAAGUAUUAUAUUUAAGAUAUCGGUUAAUUCAGCUUCUUUGCUGUCAUUUUCAGGUAUUGGAAUUGCUUCCACCUUAAAUUCGUGUCAUGUAUCUCUACAUUAAUGUAUGUAAAAUUCGUAUAUUACUCAAUAUUCGUAGACUGGUUAAGAGUUAACUAAGUCAUUCGUUUAUUUCAAUUGUAUAAUUACUGAAAAUAAAUCAGGUAAUGCCAUUUAAAUGCUACAGCAACUUUUUCGAUACACAACAAAAUAAUAAUUAAAAUGAUAUAAAUCAAGAAAAUCAUUUUCAAUUCCUAAAUAUAGAAAUGAAAUUUUACAAUAAAUCUUAUAGUAAUGAGUACUGCUAAAUUUUAAAAAUAUUGAUGGAAUAAACGAAUGACUACUGUAAAUGAUGAAAUUAUUUUCGUCGUUUGUAUUAUUUGUAAAGAUAUUCUUUGGGAUGUAUGAAGUCUACGGCUAGAGAUUAUUUCUCGUAUGGCACUAACUUGCAUAUAUUACUGGUUCAAAAACCAUCGAAGGAAUGACUUCCCAUCCCGAAAUUAUUCGAGUCCUCCCAUUAGAGAACCCAGCUUCGUAGAUUUUAGAUCUCUAGCUAGAACGGUGAAUAAUUUCUCCUAUUUAUGUACUUAUAUUUUUAUUUCCACUAUGUAUACAAGAAAUUAUCUCAUAAAUCUGAAAAUCUUCUAAUGAAAUUAACAAUUAUUCAUCUCGUUUUUAAUUGUAAUAAUCACGUAAAACUGUAAUUACGUAUAAUAUAAUUAAUUAUUAUUAAUUGUUAUUAUAAUGAUAAUUCCAAUAAUAAUAAUUAUUGUAAUUAUUAACGUCAUAUUGAAUUGAUUGCUAUGAAAUUAUUCGUUAAUUCGUAUACGAAAUUUGUAAUGUUUCUUCUUUUCUUGUUUCAAGUUAUGCUUAAAAAUAGUGUUCUAAUAUUAUCAGAUAUUAAUGAUAUUAUAAUUUUCGUAUUACGUAAUUCUUAUUGUAGAAUCUUCUGUCGUAAAAAAAUUUUUUCGUGGGAAGUUAUAUCUACUUCAAUAUCCCUUGCAAACAUUUUUUCCAAAUUCUUUGGAGUAAACAAAACUUCUUUUCUUGUAAACAAAUACAUAUUGCCUAAGUUAUCGAAGAAUUCAUUUCCGUUAUUUUACAAUAAUAUUAUAUAAUGAAAAUGUGUAUUCCAAAAAAUAAUAAAAAACAUGUACUCAAAGAAAA